AUUGAACGCUGGCGGCAGGCCUAACACAUGCAAGUCGAGCGGAUGAAGGGAGCUUGCUCCUGGAUUCAGCGGCGGACGGGUGAGUAAUGCCUAGGGAUCUGCCUGGUAGUGGGGGAUAACGUCCGGAAACGGGCGCUAAUACCGCAUCCGUCCUGAGGGAGAAAGUGGGGGAUCUUCGGACCUCACGCUAUCAGAUGAGCCUAGGUCGGAUUAGCUAGUUGGUGGGGUAAAGGCCUACCAAGGCGACGAUCCGUAACUGGUCUGAGAGGAUGAUCAGUCACACUGGAACUGAGACACGGUCCAGACUCCUACGGGAGGCAGCAGUGGGGAAUAUUGGACAAUGGGCGAAAGCCUGAUCCAGCCAUGCCGCGUGUGUGAAGAAGGUCUUCGGAUUGUAAAGCACUUUAAGUUGGGAGGAAGGGCAGUAAGUUAAUACCUUGCUGUUUUGACGUUACCAACAGAAUAAGCACCGGCUAACUUCGUG
rnacentral:rRNA from 1 species